rnacentral:rRNA from 1 species
UACGUAGGGUGCGAGCGUUGUCCGGAAUUAUUGGGCGUAAAGGGCUCGUAGGCGGUUUGUCGCGUCGGGAGUGAAAACCAUGGGCUUAACUCAUGGCUUGCUUCCGAUACGGGCAGACUAGAGGUAUGCAGGGGAGAACGGAAUUCCUGGUGUAGCGGUGAAAUGCGCAGAUAUCAGGAGGAACACCGAUGGCGAAGGCAGGUCUCUGGGCCAUUACUGACACUGAGAAGCGAAAGCAUGGGGAGCGAACAGG